UGAGUAAACCGGGCAGUCGCGUGGCAUUGCCGAAAGGCUACCCACGAGGAAAGUCCGGGCUGCAUAGGGCAAGGAUAACGGGUAACGCCCGCCGAAGGCGACUUCAGGAAAAGUGCAACAGAAAUAGACCGCCGCGCUUGCGCGGCAAGGGUGGAAAGGCGAGGUAAGAGCUCACCCAUCGGGCGGGAACGCUCCGAUGCUGUAAACUCUAUCCGCAGCAACACCGCGGAGGGGACACAUGGCUUGCCCGGCCGUCCCCGCGGAGGUGGCUUGAGCCUGUCGGCAACGGCAGGCCUAGACAGAUGACUGCCACGUCAAAAGGCGUACAGAACCCGGCUUACAGGUUUACUCGCAUA
rnacentral:RNase_P_RNA from 1 species